rnacentral:rRNA from 1 species
GCAUAUCAAUAAGCGGAGGAAAAGAAACCAACAGGGAUUGCCCUAGUAACGGCGAGUGAAGCGGCAACAGCUCAAAUUUGAAAUCUGGCGCAAGCCCGAGUUGUAAUUUGUAGAGGAUGUUUCUGGCGACGUGCCUUCCGAGUUCCCUGGAACGGGACGCCAUAGAGGGUGAGAGCCCCGUACGGUUGGAUGCCUAGCCUCUGUGAAACUCCUUCGACGAGUCGAGUAGUUUGGGAAUGCUGCUCUAAAUGGGAGGUAUACGUCUUCUAAAGCUAAAUACCGGCCAGAGACCGAUAGCGCACAAGUAGAGUGAUCGAAAGAUGAAAAGCACUUUGAAAAGAGGGUUAAAAAGUACGUGAAAUUGUUGAAAGGGAAGCGUUCAUGACCAGACUUGGGCAGGUUGAUCAUCCGUGGUUCUCCGCGGUGCACUCUGCCUGCCCAGGCCAGCAUCAGUUCGCCCCGGGGGAUAAAGGCUUUGGGAAUGUGGCUCCCUCGGGAGUGUUAUAGCCCACUGUGUAAUACCCUGGGGUGGACUGAGGUUCGCGCUCUGCAAGGAUGCUGGCGUAAUGGUCAUCAACGACCCGUCUUGAAACACGGACCAAGGAGUCGUCUUCGUAUGCGAGUGUUCGGGUGUCAAACCCCUACGCGUAAUGAAAGUGAACGUAGGAGAGAGCUUCGGCGCAUCUCCGACCGAUCCUGAUGUUCUCGGAUGGAUUUGAGUAAGAGCAUACGGGGCCGGACCCGAAAGAAGGUGAACUAUGCCUGUAUAGGGUGAAGCCAGAGGAAACUCUGGUGGAGGCUCGCAGCGGUUCUGACGUGCAAAUCGAUCGUCAAAUAUGGGCAUGGGGGCGAAAGACUAAUCGAACCUUCUAGUAGCUGGUUUCCGCGA